CACCAUGAAAGAACAACAUCGGCGACACUAGCGACAUCUAGUAAUGAGUUUUGAAUCUUUAGUUGGUUGCACAGUCAAGUCACAGACAGACAUGACAGUUCACGUCAAAAAAGUUUAACAACGGAGAUCGGAUAGCAAGUUAACUGUUUUUAAAUAAUUUCAGCUGAAGUUUUCAUGUACCUUGUCAACUAGGUGCUUGUGACUGAAAUGAAAUGAUCUAAUCCAAAAAUGCAAGCUCACAACCUACGUCUUCUGAAGAAAAAUAAUUUCUGUUGCAGUUGUAAAUCUUCAAGAUGUUGAUGCCUUCGCCAGAUCCUGAUGAGAGAGAGAGAAUUCAUCAUUUUGUGUGCAACAGUUUUAAUUAUUUUUAUUUCUAAUUUAAAUUUUGCUUUAGAUUUUGCCGAAUGAGAACCAUUUUGUUGCCCAUCCACUGGAUCCAUCCAAGGAUAAGGAAAAGGCCAACACCACCAACACUGUCAACAAGGUUCUUUGUUUGUUUACCCCUUGGCUGGUGAAAGAUUGUUGUGCAUCAAGUUAACCUGUGGCUGUUCCUUGUUGCUGGUGUCUUGUUACAAAAGCAGGCAGUAUUUUGUUCAAUUUGCAUUAUGUCUGUAGAUUUACAGCUAGUUUAAGUUUUAGCUUCACCUUCUUCUUCGUUCCAGUCUAAUUCACACAUGUAUUUUUUCAGCCAUGGUCUGUUGGAUUUGACUUGUACAAUUUUCUUUAUUGGUAUAAUUAUGAUUAGACUUAACUCUUGUAAAUAACGUAAAGUGAGAUUUAUUUGUCUUUUCAUUGACAGCAUUUCCAUUGA